rnacentral:rRNA from 1 species
ACGAGAAAGGGGCUUCGGCUCUGAGUAAAGUGGCGCACGGGUGAGUAACACGUGAAUGAUCUACCCCCGAGUGGGGAAUAACUGAGAGAAAUCCUAGCUAAUACCGCAUAACACUUACGAGUCAAAGCAGCAAUGCGCUUGGAGAGGAGUUCGCGGCCGAUUAGUUAGUUGGCGGGGUAAUGGCCCACCAAGACGAUGAUCGGUAUCCGGCCUGAGAGGGCGCACGGACACACUGGAACUGAAACACGGUCCAGACUCCUACGGGAGGCAGCAGUGGGGAAUUUUGCGCAAUGGGGGAAACCCUGACGCAGCAACGCCGCGUGGAGGAUGAAAUCCCUUGGGAUGUAAACUCCUUUCGAUAGGGAAGAUUAUGACGGUACCUAUAGAAGAAGCCCCGGCUAACUUCGUGCCAGCAGCCGCGGUAAUACGAGGGGGGCAAGCGUUGUUCGGAAUUAUUGGGCGUAAAGGGCGCGUAGGCGGUUUGACAAGUCUGAUGUGAAAUCUCUGGGCUCAACCCAGAGUCUGCAUUAGAAACUGUCGGGCUUGAGUAUGGGAGAGGUGAGUGGAA